rfam:Monoraphidium neglectum strain SAG 48.87 mitochondrion, whole genome shotgun sequence.
GCGAGCCGUAUGAAUUGAAAGGUUCACGUACGGUUCUGAGGGCAGCUUGAUAAUUCUAAAGGGCGGAUACCCUAAGCAGCCUACGGGCCGACUUAGCCCCAAUGAGUUCGACCAUGCAUAGCAUGGAAACGACACCCCAAGGACAUCCUCCUGACCCCUAC